UGGUAUAGGUCUCUCUCAGUUUGUUGCUUAUAUACCAAACAAAGAGUGCUGGAAAGCUGCGCGCGAUCAAUCUUACUCGCCAAAAGGUCUGACAGCUCGGUGCCCUCACAACACAUUUAAGGCUUCUAACUCUCCCCCGGAUCAAAUGCAGGCAGGAAGCGACGAGAAACACUGGUCACUCAGAUUAGAACCAUUUUCUGCUCCUUCCAGCUCGAGCUGUCGCUGGAGGGAUGGUUUCAAAGAUAAAUAGGAAUGGUAACAAGGCGGCCGCGUAUAUUUCCGUGCAGGGGGAGGCAGUGAACACAACGCGCGGGGGCCGCUGAAAAGUCCGGCGCUUGACAUUUUUAUUAUUAUGGAUGUGCCCACGCAGAUGAAAUGAGAGGAGGGAAGAAGGCCACCCGAGAGUUUUCUUCACGUCUCAUCAGGAAGAGAGAGAAAUAAAUUAUGCAACUUUUUUUUUUUGCUUGCAUGUAACCACCAGUUCCAGAUAUCUUGCCGAAGGAUGUUAAUGGCAUAUUUUUUUAUACCAGAAUAAUUUAUGACAAGAUUAUUUGUGCGUUGAGGUUUUUUUUGCGCACUACUUUUCAAGUCGACUGCAGGUAAUGAUUAUUCCAGUCUCAUUUUUCAAUCAAAAAUAAAUGAUGUGCAUUCUGAUAGUUUGUCUGAAUUAAAAGAGAUAUGCUUUGAUUGUA